rnacentral:misc_RNA from 1 species
GACAGAGGUGGCGAGCGUUGUUCGGAAUUACUGGGCGUAAAGCGCGCGUAGGCGGACUAUUAAGUCAGGGGUGAAAUCCCGGGGCUCAACCCCGGAACUGCCCUUGAUACUGGUAGUCUGGAGUUCUGGAGAGGUGAGUGGAAUUCCGAGUGUAGAGGUGAAAUUCGUAGAUAUUCGGAGGAACACCAGUGGCGAAGGCGGCUCACUGGCUCGAUACUGACGCUGAGGUGCGAAAGCGUGGGGAGCAAACAGG